UUAGCGAUGGUUGGUAACUAUGACAACCGAUUUUGUUUGCAAGGUUGUUAGGCCUACUUUUAAUCAUAUGCAUGGAAUGAUAAUUAUUUAAAUGAUUUCAAAAUUAAAAAUGAAUGUGUAAUUGAAAUACAUUACAGUGCAAACGAAGAGACUUAAAAGUUUUUAAAUUAUAACUGUUAUAACGCUUAGAGAAAUUAUAAAAAUGGUGGGAAAAAAACUUCAAUUUUCACUCGAUAUAACGCAAACGUGGAAAUAGUGCCACCAUUAAGUCGAGUGUAGUGCAAGGCCCGAAUAAUAUUAAGCAAUAAAUUUAUUUAAAAUAACGAAAUCAACGCACAAAUUUCGAGUUUAAGAGAUUGUAAGUAGUCACUUGGUUUGAUGUGUGUGUGACGCUAUAUCGAGGUUUCGUCGUAUUUAACGUGGAGAAUAACCUUAUCGGUUCCUUUAAUUUGUUAAAAAUAUAUUCGAAUGUAGGAUGCAUAAUAUAUACAGUCUCUUUACAGAUCUAUAUUUGCACAGUACAGUGGUACUUCGUACUUCGAACGCUUCAGAGUUCAAACGCCAAAUUCGACUAAAUUUCGCUUCGGAGUUCGAACGUCCUCCUGGAAUGGAAUAACGAGAAGAAUGAAAAUCCCAAAUAAUUACCCUUUAAUUAGGAUUUACAUUAAAUAUUGACAGACUCCAUACAGUUUUAUUUCAAAGGUUCGGAAAUUCCAAUGAAUCCACGUCUUUCAAUGUUGUCUCUUCGAUUCGGGUAAGCCAUCUCCUUUUAUUGAAACUAGAAUUGUUACUCUCCUUUUUUAUAUAACACUGAGUUCCU